rnacentral:rRNA from 1 species
CCUACGGGGUGCUGCAGUGGGGAAUAUUGCACAAUGGGGGAAACCCUGAUGCAGCGACACCGCGUGAGUGAAGAAGUAUCUCGGUAUGUAAAGCUCUAUCAGCAGGGAAGAAAAUGACGGUACCUGAGUAAGAAGCCCCGGCUAACUACGUGCCAGCAGCCGCGGUAAUACGUAGGGGGCAAGCGUUAUCCGGAUUUACUGGGUGUAAAGGGAGCGUAGACGGCAGUGCAAGUCUGGAGUGAAAGGCGGGGGCUCAACCCCCGGACUGCUCUGGAAACUGUACGGCUGGAGUGCAGGAGAGGUAAGUGGAAUUCCUAGUGUAGCGGUGAAAUGCGUAGAUAUUAGGAGGAACACCAGUGGCGAAGGCGGCUUACUGGACUGUAACUGACGUUGAGGCUCGAAAGCGUGGGGAGCAAACAGGAUUAGAUACCCCGGUAGUC